CCCUAGUAACUGCGAGUGAAGCGGGAAAAGCUCAAAUUUAAAAUCUGGUGGUCUUUGGCCAUCCGAGUUGUAAUCUAGAGAAGUGUUAUCCGCGCUGGACCGUGUACAAGUCUCCUGGAAUGGAGCGUCAUAGAGGGUGAGAAUCCCGUCUUUGACACGGACUGCCAGGGCUUUGUGAUGCGCUCUCAAAGAGUCGAGUUGUUUGGGAAUGCAGCUCAAAAUGGGUGGUAAAUUCCAUCUAAAGCUAAAUAUUGGCGAGAGACCGAUAGCGAACAAGUACCGUGAGGGAAAGAUGAAAAGAACUUUGGAAAGAGAGUUAAACAGUACGUGAAAUUGCUGAAAGGGAAACGCUUGAAGUCAGUCGCGUUGGCCGGGAAUCAACCUUGCUUUUGCUGGGCGUACUUUCCGGUUGACGGGUCAGCAUCAAUUUUGACCGUUGGAUAAAGUUCAAGGGAAUGUGGCAUCUUCGGAUGUGUUAUAGCCUUUGUUCGCAUACAACGGUUGGGAUUGAGGAACUCAGCACGCCGCAAGGCCGGGUAUUUAUACUACGUUCGUGCUUAGGAUGCUGGCAUAAUGGCUUUAAUCGACCCGUCUUGAAACACGGACCAAGGAGUCUAACAUGCCUGCGAGUGUUUGGGUGGAAAACCCGAGCGCGUAAUGAAAGUGAAAGUUGAGAUCCCUGUCGUGGGGAGCAUCGACGCCCGGACCAGACCUUUUGUGACGGAUCCGCGGUAGAGCAUGUAUGUUGGGACCCGAAAGAUGGUGAACUAUGCCUGAAUAGGGUGAAGCCAGAGGAAACUCUGGUGGAGGCUCGUAGCGAUUCUGACGUGCAAAUCGAUCGUCAAAUUUGGGUAUAGGGGCGAAAGACUAAUCGAACCAUCUAGUAGCUGG
rnacentral:rRNA from 1 species